GCGUGUAUACAUAUAUAUAAUAUUACAAGAACUUUCUAAAAGCUUCUAGAAGAGUAGGUUAUAACAAGUUGCUCCCUUGCUCCAGCGCAUGAAUAAAGAUAAAAAUAUAUAUUUCAAGAGAAAUUAUUGAUCAGAACACCACCAGCUGGUUCCUGUGGUUAUUGUUUUGGAGAAACUAUUAGUUGGAUCAAAUCCAUCGAUUUAGCGAUGGGGCAAGCUAAUCAGAAAGUGAUGUAGAGGUUCGAGAGCCUUCUGGCUUCUUUUUCUCUUUUUUUUUUUUUCUCCCUAAUUUGCUUUCUAAUUGAAUUGCUCUACAGCUGAGCUAGUAGACACAAUCUAGCUUGUUAAUUUGGUUGUCUAAUCAAAAGGUGGUAUUAUGGUUUUAAAAAAUUUGAAAAGAAAAAUUUUACAUCAUCUUUGCCACGUAUGCAUGUCAUAUGGACUUCAUUUUUGAUGAGUACAAUAAACCAAUAGCAAUAUCGCCUUCGAGGGACGUGGCUUAUCCGGUUCAGUGGCCAGAAUUGGUCCAAAUUAAGGCAUCCGUGGCAAAAGUUGGACCUAUCAAGAACAAGUAGUUGCGUAGUGGCUGAUGUGGUUUUGUGUUUGUCAAGGUGUAAGCUUUAACAAUGUCAUUCAUUGGCUAUAAUAUUUGUCCUCACAUCAUAAAUCUUGUAAAUCUACAUACUCUUCACUUUUGGUGAUACAAUAACAAGAUGGCUUCCCCAAAAUGCCACAAACUUGACCAAAAAUAAGUCAUACUUGGCAAAAGGAUUAAUUAGCUGCUUAGAGGCUGAUGUGGUUUGUAUGGCAUGAGUUGUCGAGAUACGAGCUGUGGUAAUGUUAUCCAUUGGC
rnacentral:lncRNA from 1 species